CCUACGGGAGGCAGCAGUGGGGAAUAUUGCACAAUGGGCGAAAGCCUGAUGCAGCGACGCCGCGUGAGGGAUGACGGCCUUCGGGUUGUAAACCUCUUUCAGCAGGGAAGAAGCGAAAGUGACGGUACCUGCAGAAGAAGCGCCGGCUAACUACGUGCCAGCAGCCGCGGUAAUACGUAGGGCGCAAGCGUUGUCCGGAAUUAUUGGGCGUAAAGAGCUCGUAGGCGGCUUGUCACGUCGGAUGUGAAAGCCCGAGGCUUAACCUCGGGUCUGCAUUCGAUACGGGCUAGCUAGAGUGUGGUAGGGGAGAUCGGAAUUCCUGGUGUAGCGGUGAAAUGCGCAGAUAUCAGGAGGAACACCGGUGGCGAAGGCGGAUCUCUGGGCCAUUACUGACGCUGAGGAGCGAAAGCGUGGGGAGCGAACAGGAUUAGAUACCCUGGUAGUCCACGCCGUAAACGUUGGGAACUAGGUGUUGGCGACAUUCCACGUCGUCGGUGCCGCAGCUAACGCAUUAAGUUCCCCGCCUGGGGAGUACGGCCGCAAGGCUAAAACUCAAAGGAAUUGACGG
rnacentral:rRNA from 1 species